rnacentral:rRNA from 1 species
UACGGGGGGGGCAAGCGUUGUUCGGAAUUAUUGGGCGUAAAGAGCUCGUAGGCGGUCUGUCGCGUCGAUCGUGAAAACUUGGGGCUUAACCCUGAGCUUGCGGUUGAUACGGGCAUGACUGGAGUUCGGCAGGGGAGACUGGAAUUCCUGGUGUAGCGGUGAAAUGCGCAGAUAUCAGGAGGAACACCGGUGGCGAAGGCGGGUCUCUGGGCCGAUACUGACGCUGAGGAGCGAAAGCGUGGGGAGCGAACAGG